rnacentral:rRNA from 1 species
GAUGAACGCUAGCAGCAGGCCUAAUACAUGCAAGUCGAACGGGAUCCAGAUCAAAGCUUGCUUUGGUCUGGUGAGAGUGGCGCACGGGUGCGUAACGCGUGAGCAACCUACCCUUGUCAGGGGGAUAGCCCGGCGAAAGUCGGAUUAAUACCGCAUGACAUCAUUGAGAGGCAUCUUUCGAUGAUCAAAGAUUUAUCGGACAAGGAUGGGCUCGCGUGACAUUAGCUAGUUGGUAAGGUAACGGCUUACCAAGGCUGCGAUGUCUAGGGGCUCUGAGAGGAGAAUCCCCCACACUGGUACUGAGACACGGACCAGACUCCUACGGGAGGCAGCAGUAAGGAAUAUUGGUCAAUGGACGGAAGUCUGAACCAGCCAUGCCGCGUGCAGGAGGACGGCCCUAUGGGUUGUAAACUGCUUUUAUACGGGAACAAACGUCGGUACGUGUACCGGUCUGAGUGUACCGUAAGAAUAAGGAUCGGCUAACUCCGUG